AAAAAGCUUCAAACUGGGAUUAGAUACCCCACUAUGCUUAGCCCUAAACCUCAACAGUUAAAUCAACAAAACUGCUCGCCAGAACACUACGAGCCACAGCUUAAAACUCAAAGGACCUGGCGGUGCUUCAUAUCCCUCUAGAGGAGCCUGUUCUGUAAUCGAUGAACCCCGAUCAACCUCACCACCUCUUGCUCAGCCUAUAUACCGCCAUCUUCAGCAAACCCUGAUGAAGGCUACAAAGUAAGCGCAAGUACCCACGUAAAGACGUUAGGUCAAGGUGUAGCCCAUGAGGUGGCAAGAAAUGGGCUACAUUUUCUACCCCAGAAAACUACGAUAGCCCUUAUGAAACUUAAGGGUCGAAGGUGGAUUUAGCAGUAAACUGAGAGUAGAGUGCUUAGUUGAACAGGGCCCUGAAGCGCGUACACACCGCCCGUCACCCUCUGCAGUCA
rnacentral:rRNA from 1 species